rnacentral:tRNA from 1 species
GAUUAGCUCAGUUGGUAGAGCAGCUGACUCUUAAUCAGCGGGUCCGGGGUUCGAAUCCCC